GACGAACGCUGGCGGCGUGCUUAACACAUGCAAGUCGAACGGAAAGGCCCUGCUUUUGUGGGGUGCUCGAGUGGCGAACGGGUGAGUAACACGUGAGUAACCUGCCCUUGACUUUGGGAUAACUUCAGGAAACUGGGGCUAAUACCGGAUAGGAGCUCCUGCUGCAUGGUGGGGGUUGGAAAGUUUCGGCGGUUGGGGAUGGACUCGCGGCUUAUCAGCUUGUUGGUGGGGUAGUGGCUUACCAAGGCUUUGACGGGUAGCCGGCCUGAGAGGGUGACCGGCCACAGUGGGACUGAGAUACGGCCCAGACUCCUACGGGAGGCAGCAGUGGGGAAUAUUGCACAAUGGGCGGAAGCCUGAUGCAGCAACGCCGCGUGCGGGAUGACGGCCUUCGGGUUGUAAACCGCUUUCGCCUGUGACGAAGCGUGAGUGACGGUAAUGGGUUAAGAAGCACCGGCUAACUACGUG
rnacentral:rRNA from 1 species